UAAAUAGUUAUGCCAAUGUUAAUUGGUAGCUACACUUCUUAGAGGGACUGUCGGCGAUUAGCCGACGGAAGUUUGAGGCGAUAACAGGUCUGUAAUGCCCUUAGAUGUCCUGGGCCGCACGCGCGCUACACUGAUGAAGUCAACGAGUUUAUAACCUUGGCCGGAAGGUUUG
rnacentral:rRNA from 1 species